CGCCGCAUGUCACUCCUCCUCGGCUGCCCCAUGGGUGUAAGCGUGGAUCGUCGUCACCGCCGUCCGCUUUUCUUCUGCUACCCAUGGGCGAGAAGCACUUCCACAAAAAUGCAUGCGUUGUUGUCGUGAUUGUUCUUGUGCCUUGCGUUGGAUCAGCGGGAGCAACUCCUCCAUCUUCGGACGCUGGCACACGCUCAACCAUGUAUUAUGAAGAAAGAAACUGCUCGCAUCCACAUCAUCCGGGCUGGAGCUAUAUAGCUGAAACUUGAUGACUGGACGUCCGAUGAUCCGCUGAUCGAAAGGAAGCCUAUGGAGGAGCGGCUCAUGAUCCACCCCUAUGAUAGGCAAGAUAGCUGGCGGUUAACAUCGCAGCACCCGAGCACGGGCUUUCCACGCUGAGAUCUAAUCACUGCCAUCGUGGACGAGAGCUAUGUAAGAUGAUGAGAAGAUUUAGUUAUCUGAAAACAGUCCCUGUACACGUGAAGUUCAGCAUGGUUCAAUGAUGUAUGGAAUUUCAAAAAGCAAAGCUCUGUCUGCAAAAGGUAAAAAUCAAAGGGGAUUUCAGCCCUUGAUCAUUUCUGAAAUUUGUGAAAUGAGAUGUAUACGACUUUCUUAUUUGCUUGAUUUGCUAUUCACCGAGGGGGUGUCUCAGUUUGGUUUGCCAUAGGCCUUCAUCGCUUUGCUAUGCUGAUUCACAUGCUCCUUUUAGUCCGAGGUGAGGUGCCGAGAAUUAGAAAAUCGGUUGCUCCCAUUUUGUUCACAAGCUAACUUGCAAGAAACAGGAACGG